AGGGGUGUGGCGCAACUGGUAGCGCGGCGGCCUCCAAAGCCGGCGGUUGCAGGUUCGAGCCCUGUCGCCCCUG
rnacentral:tRNA from 1 species